UAUCACUCGCCAUUCAAACGGAAAAAUGCUACGAAGUAUUUAAGUGUGAAGAUGGCAUCUGUUUUCAAAAAGCUAAGAAAAAACUAACUCCCGUGGUAAAAUAGCUAAAUUGGCAACGCUAAAUACACACGUGUAAAACGUAAAGAAAUUUAAUCACAUUAAUCAUGCUCAAACAAAAUAUAUUCUCUUUUGUCGUGACAUUCACUGUUGUCACUUAGCAUCAUAUUUGAUAUGUUGGGUGCCGGUCGCAGGAAUAAUUCCGGCCAUAAUUGCUUGGAGGUGAUGAGCAAUGGAAAUGUCCGAAGAAAUAUCUAGAAUAAGCUUUAAUGAUUAAUUGUUUUUUCGUUAUAUGUAUUAUAUAUGUUUAUUGUUUUUCUUUAUAUGUAUUAUGUAAAUAUGUAUGUAAAUAUGAAGUGUAAAAAAUACACUGCCGCUCACUUGAAUAGCCCACCCAAAACAUUCAUAUUAAAACCCCAAAAACUCACAAAUUAAAAAUUUCAAAAAAUA